CAGCCGCCGCGGGAAUACGAAGGGUGCAAGCGUUACUCGGAAUUACUGGGCGUAAAGCGUGCGUAGGUGGUUGUUUAAGUCUGCUGUGAAAGCCCUGGGCUCAACCUGGGAAUUGCAGUGGAUACUGGGCGACUAGAGUAAGGUAGAGGAUAGUGUAAUUUCCGGUGUAGCAGUGAAAUGCGUAGAGAUCGGAAGGAACAUCUGUGGCGAAGGCGACUAUCUGGGCCAUUACUGACACUGAGGCACGAAAGCGUGGGGAGCAAACAGGAUUAGAGACCCCGGUAGUCCCUGUCUCUUAUAC
rnacentral:rRNA from 1 species